rnacentral:rRNA from 1 species
AUUGAACGCUGGCGGCAGGCUUAACACAUGCAAGUCGAACGAGUGGCGGACGGGUGAGUCAUGCUUGGGAAUCUAGCUUAUGGAGGGGGAUAACUACGGGAAACUGUAGCUAAUACCGCGUAACAUAGGAUGAGCCCAAGUGGGAUUAGGUAGUUGGUGAGGUAAAGGCUCACCAAGCCGACGAGUCCUAGCUGGUCUGAGAGGACGACCGGCCACACUGGGACUCAGACACGGCCCAGACUCCUACGGGAUGCAGCAGUGGGGAUUAUUGCGCAAUGGGGGCAGCCUGCCGUAGCCAUGCCGCGUGAAUGAAGAAGGCCUUUGGGUUGUAAAGUUCUUUCGGUAGCGAGGCGUUAACUACAGAAGAAGCCCCGGCUAACUCCGUGCCAGCAGCCGCGGUAAUUC